rnacentral:rRNA from 1 species
AAAACAUCGCCUCCUGCAAAAAUCAACGUAUAGGAGGUCCUGCCUGCCCAGUGACUAUUAGUUAAACGGCCGCGGUAUUUUGACCGUGCUAAGGUAGCGUAAUCACUUGUCUUUUAAAUGGAGACCUGUAUGAAUGGCGGAACGAGGGCUUAACUGUCUCCCCUUUCUAGUCAAUGAAAUUGAUCUGCCCGUGCAGAAGCGGACAUAAAAAUACAAGACGAGAAGACCCUUUGGAGCUUAAGACAUCAGGCCAACUAUGUCAAAAAUUCAAAUAAAAUGAAAAAGAACAAAACAGCAACUGGCCAACGUCUUCGGUUGGGGCGACCGCGGGGGAUAGAAAAGCCCCCAUGUGGAAUGGGCAAAACCCUAAAACCAAGAGAGACAUCUCUAAGGCGCAGAACAUCUGACCAAAAGAUCCGGUAUUAACCGAUCAACGAACCUAGUUACCCUAGGGAUAACAGCGCAAUCCCUUCUAAGAGUUCAUAUCGACGAAGGGGUUUACGACCUCGAUGUUGGAUCAGGACAUCCUAAUGGCGCAGCCGCUAUUAAGGGUUCGUUUGUUCAACGAUUAAUAGUCCUACGU